GACGAACGCUGGCGGCGUGCCUAAUACAUGCAAGUAGAACGCUGAAGGAGGAGCUUGCUUCUCCGGAUGAGUUGCGAACGGGUGAGUAACGCGUAGGUAACCUGCCUGGUAGCGGGGGAUAACUAUUGGAAACGAUAGCUAAUACCGCAUAAGAGUAGAUGUCGCAUGACAUUUGCUUAAAAGGUGCAACUGCACCACUACCAGAUGGACCUGCGUUGUAUUAGCUAGUUGGUGAGGUAACGGCUCACCAAGGCAACGAUACAUAGCCGACCUGAGAGGGUGAUCGGCCACACUGGGACUGGGGCACCGCCCAGACUCCUACGGGAGGCAGCAGUAGGGGAUCUUCGGCAAUGGACGGAAGUCUGACCGAGCAACGCCGCGUGAGUGAAGAAGGUUUUCGGAUCGUAAAGCUCUGUUGUGAGAGAAGAACGAGUGUGAGAGUGGAAAGUUCACACUGUGACGGUAUCUUACCAGAAAGGGACGGCUAACUACGUG
rnacentral:rRNA from 1 species